AAUUCUGGCUUCUGCCACAUGGAUUCAGGCAAGGAGCAGCCAAAGGAGGAAUCUAACAGAAGCUAAGCAGGGUUGGGCCUGGUUAGCACUUGGAUGGGAGACCACCUAGGAAGACCAGGUGUUAUAGGUG
rnacentral:rRNA from 1 species